UAGGGAAUCUUCCACAAUGGACGCAAGUCUGAUGGAGCAACGCCGCGUGAGUGAAGAAGGUUUUCGGAUCGUAAAGCUCUGUUGUUGGUGAAGAAGGAUAGAGGCAGUAACUGGUCUUUAUUUGACGGUAAUCAACCAGAAAGUCACGGCUAACUACGUGCCAGCAGCCGCGGUAAUACGUAGGUGGCAAGCGUUGUCCGGAUUUAUUGGGCGUAAAGCGAGCGCAGGCGGAAUGAUAAGUCUGAUGUGAAAGCCCACGGCUCAACCGUGGAACUGCAUCGGAAACUGUCAUUCUUGAGUGCAGAAGAGGAGAGUGGAAUUCCAUGUGUAGCGGUGGAAUGCGUAGAUAUAUGGAAGAACACCAGUGGCGAAUGCGGCUCUCUGGUCUGCAACUGACGCUGAGGCUCGAAAGCAUGGGUAGCGAACAGG
rnacentral:rRNA from 1 species